rnacentral:rRNA from 1 species
UACGAAGGGGGCUAGCGUUGUUCGGAUUUACUGGGCGUAAAGCGCACGUAGGCGGAUCGUUAAGUCGGGGGUGAAAUCCUGGAGCUCAACUCCAGAACUGCCUUCGAUACUGGCGAUCUUGAGUCCGGAAGAGGUGAGUGGAACUCCUAGUGUAGAGGUGGAAUUCGUAGAUAUUCGCAAGAACACCAGUGGCGAAGGCGGCUCUCUGGGACGGUACUGACGCUGAGACGCGAAAGCGUGGGGAGCGAACAGG